CGGCGUGCCUAAUACAUGCAAGUCGAACGGUCUUUCUAUGGAAGCUGCUUCCACUGAGAAGAUAGUGGCGAACGGGUGAGUAACACGUGGGUAACCUGCCCAUAAGAGGGGGAUAACGAUCCGGAAACGGGUGCUAAUACCGCAUAGUUUUCUUGAUCGCAUGAUUGAGAAAGGAAAGACGGCCUUUGUGCUGUCGCUUAUGGAUGGACCCGCGGCGUAUUAGUUAGUUGAUGAGGUAACGGCUCACCAAGACGAUGAUACGUAGCCGACCUGAGAGGGUGAUCGGCCACAUUGGGACUGAGACACGGCCCAAACUCCUACGGGAGGCAGCAGUAGGGAAUCUUCCGCAAUGGACGAAAGUCUGACGGAGCAACGCCGCGUGAGUGAAGAAAGGUUUUCGGAUCGUAAAACUCUGUUGUCAGAGAAGAACAAGUUGGAGAGUAACUGCUCCAGCCUUGACGGUAUCUGACCAGAAAGCCACGGCUAACUACGUGCCAGCAGCCGC
rnacentral:rRNA from 1 species